rnacentral:rRNA from 1 species
CAUGCAAGUCGAACGCGAAAGUGGAGCAAUCCAUGAGUAGAGUGGCAAACGGGUGAGUAACGCGUGGGCGACCUACCUUCGAGUGGGGGAUAACCUUCCGAAAGGAGGGCUAAUACCGCAUGACAUCCCGUGUUUGGAUACACGGAUAUCAAAGCCGGGGAUCGCAAGACCUGGCGCUUGGAGAGGGGCCCGCGUCCGAUUAGCUAGUUGGUGAGGUAACGGCUCACCAAGGCUCCGAUCGGUAUCCGGCCUGAGAGGGCGGACGGACACACUGGAACUGAGACACGGUCCAGACUCCUACGGGAGGCAGCAGUGGGGAAUCGUUCACAAUGGGCGCAAGCCUGAUGACGCAACGCCGCGUGGAGGAUGAAGACUUUCGGGUCGUAAACUCCUUCCGACCGAGAUGAAUUUCCGCCGACCUAACACGUCGGCGGGGUGACAGUAUCGAGGGAAGAAGCCCCGGCUAACUCCGUGCCAGCAGCCGCGGUAAUACGGGGGGGGCAAGCGUUGUUCGGAAUUACUGGGCGUAAAGGGUUUGUAGGUGGCUUGUUAAGUCAGACGUGAAAUCCCUCAGCUUAACUGGGGAACUGCGUCUGAUACUGGCGAGCUUGAGUGCAGGAGAGGAACGCGGAAUUCCAGGUGUAGCGGUGAAAUGCGUAGAUAUCUGGAGGAACACCGGUGGCGAAGGCGGCGUUCUGGACUGCAACUGACACUGAAAAACGAAAGCCAGGGGAGCAAACGGGAUUAGAUACCCCGGUAGUCCUGGCCCUAAACGAUG